rnacentral:tRNA from 1 species
UUUUGAAUAUUUUAAAGAGAAAUAUAAAUUGUAAAUUUAUAAGUAGGUUAAAUAAAAGUUAUCUUUCAAAAA